rnacentral:rRNA from 1 species
AACUUUGGACAAGGGGCGCAAGCCUGAUCCAGCAAUGCCGCGUGCAGGAUUAAGGCCUUCGGGUUGUAAACUGCUUUUGUACGGAACGAAAAGCCCUGGGUUAAUACCCUGGGGUCAUGACGGUACCGUAAGAAUAAGCACCGGCUAAACACGUGCCAGCAGCCGCGGUAAAACGUACGGUGCGAGCGUUAAUCGGAAGUACUGGGCGUAAAGCGUGCGCAGGCGGUUUUGUAAGACAGAGGUGAAAUCCCCGGGCUCAACCUGGGAACUGCCUUUGUGACUGCAAGGCUAGAGUACGGCAGAGGGAGAUGGAAUUCCGCGUGUAGCAGUGAAAUGCGUAGAUAUGCGGAGGAACACCGAUGGCGAAGGCAAUCCCCUGAGCCUGUACUGACGCUCAUGCACGAAAGCGUGGGGAGCAAACAGA